GACGAACGCUGGCGGCGUGCUUAACACAUGCAAGUCGAGCGGAGCGGCGAACGGGUGAGUAACGCGUGAGUAACUGCCCCCCUCUCUGGGAUAACAGUUGGAAACGGCUGCUAAUACCGGAUAGUGGGGGAUGACUCGCGUCCUAUCAGCUUGUUGGUGGGGUAGUGGCCUACCAAGGCGACGACGGGUAGCCGGCCUGAGAGGGCGACCGGGCACAGUGGGCUGGGAUACGGCCAAAAGGCCUACGGGAGGCAGCGGUGGGGAAUAGUCCACGAUGGGGGAAACGCUGGAGCAGCAACGCCGGGUGCGGGAUGACGGCCUUCGGGUUGUAAACCGCUUUCAGCGAUGACGCGGUAGUGGCAGAAGAAGCACCGGCUAACUACGUGCCAGCAGCCGCGGUAAUUC
rnacentral:rRNA from 1 species